AUUAAUAGAAAUGGAAUGAGAUAAUCAACAAGCAUUGACCAAAGAUAGAAAAGAUCAAGGUCAAACAAUUGAAAACAGAAGCAAAAUGAAGAUUAGAAGUCAAGAAACAAAUAAAAUAUUUUUGGCAUUUUUUAAUAUUAAAAUAAAACUUGAAUUAAAAUAAUAAAGAAAGGUAAAACUUCAAACUCACUUCAAAUAAACUUUGAAAAGUCCAAGUGAAAUAUCCCAAGUUCAACAAGGUCAAACAAAGUUUGAC
rnacentral:lncRNA from 1 species